AUCAGAAGUGCGAAUGCUGACAUAAGUAACGAUAAAGCGGGUGAAAAGCCCGCUCGCCGGAAGACCAAGGGUUCCUGUCCAACGUUAAUCGGGGCAGGGUGAGUCGACCCCUAAGGCGAGGCCGAAAGGCGUAGUCGAUGGGAAACAGGUUAAUAUUCCUGUACUUGGUGUUACUGCGAAGGGGGGACGGAGAAGGCUAUGUUAGCCGGGCGACGGUUGUCCCGGUUUAAGCAUGUAGGCGGAGGUUCCAGGUAAAUCCGGUACCUUUUAACGCUGAGGUGUGAUGACGAGGCACUACGGUGCUGAAGUAACAAAUGCCCUGCUUCCAGGAAAAGCCUCUAAGCAUCAGGUAACAUCAAAUCGUACCCCAAACCGACACAGGUGGUCAGGUAGAGAAUACCAAGGCGCUUGAGAGAACUCGGGUGAAGGAACUAGGCAAAAUGGUGCCGUAACUUCGGGAGAAGGCACGCUGGUGUGUAGGUGAAGUCCCUGCGGACGGAGCUGAGACCAGUCGAAGAUACCAGCUGGCUGCAACUGUUUAUUAAAAACACAGCACUGUGCAAACACGAAAGUGGACGUAUACGGUGUGACGCCUGCCCGGUGCCGGAAGGUUAAUUGAUGGGGUUAUCCGUAAGGAGAAGCUCUUGAUCGAAGCCCCGGUAAACGGCGGCCGUAACUAUAACGGUCCUAAGGUAGCGAAAUUCCUUGUCGGGUAAGUUCCGACCUGCACGAAUGGCGUAAUGAUGGCCAGGCUGUCUCCACCCGAGACUCAGUGAAAUUGAACUCGCUGUGAAGAUGCAGUGUACCCGCGGCAAGACGGAAAGACCCCGUGAACCUUUACUAUAGCUUGACACUGAACAUUGAGCCUUGAUGUGUAGGAUAGGUGGGAGGCUUUGAAGCGUGGACGCCAGUCUGCGUGGAGCCAACCUUGAAAUACCACCCUUUAAUGUUUGAUGUUCUAACGUAGGCCCCUUAUCGGGGUUGCGGACAGUGUCUGGUGGGUAGUUUGACUGGGGCGGUCUCCUCCCAAAGAGUAACGGAGGAGCACGAAGGUUAGCUAAUCCUGGUCGGACAUCAGGAGGUUAGUGCAAUGGCAUAAGCUAGCUUGACUGCGAGCGUGACGGCGCGAGCAGGUGCGAAAGCAGGUCAUAGUGAUCCGGUGGUUCUGAAUGGAAGGGCCAUCGCUCAACGGAUAAAAGGUACUCCGGGGAUAACAGGCUGAUACCGCCCAAGAGUUCAUAUCGACGGCGGUGUUUGGCACCUCGAUGUCGGCUCAUCACAUCCUGGGGCUGAAGUAGGUCCCAAGGGUAUGGCUGUUCGCCAUUUAAAGUGGUACGCGAGCUGGGUUUAGAACGUCGUGAGACAGUUCGGUCCCUAUCUGCCGUGGGCGCUGGAGAAUUGAGGGGGGCUGCUCCUAGUACGAGAGGACCGGAGUGGACGCAUCACUGGUGUUCGGGUUGUCAUGCCAAUGGCACUGCCCGGUAGCUAAAUGCGGAAGAGAUAAGUGCUGAAAGCAUCUAAGCACGAAACUUGCCCCG
rnacentral:rRNA from 1 species